rnacentral:SRP_RNA from 1 species
AAGAAGUCAAGAUAUGCGACUUUGGCUUGGGCAAGAUGGAUCAGUCAGCAUCCACACUCACAGCUACUAUGACACUCUAUGAUGGUCUGAAAGGCACUCCGCAGUGGAU